rnacentral:SRP_RNA from 1 species
GGCGGGUCUCCCCGCAUUGCAGCGCGGUGAACCUGGUCAGGGCCGGAAGGCAGCAGCCACAGCCGUUCCCUGCAAGUGCCGGGGGUCAGGCUCGCCACCCCGAACA